rnacentral:ncRNA from 1 species
UAAAAAUUUUAUUUUGGUUUAGAAAUUAGGUUUAAAAUUUUAUUAUAUAUAAAUUUUUUUAAAUAAUAAUUGUAUAGUAAUUAAAAUUAAUUAUUUAAUAGUUUAAGAAUUAGAAAUUUUUAUUAUUGUUAACAAAAUUUGUGCCAGCAGUUGCGGUUACACAAAUAGCAAAAUUUAAUUAAUUUAGUUAAAAUUAAAGGAAAUUGAUUUAUUUAAAAAAUAAAUUUGUUAGGUGGAAUUUUAAAUUUAUUUUUGAUAAGUUUUUAUAUUGAAGUUUAGAAAUUUUUGUUAUAAACUAGGAUUAGAUACCCUAUUAUAAGAAAUGUAAUAAAAAGAUUAGAUUAGUAUUAGUUAAGUUCUUGAAAAUUAAAAAUUUUGGCGGUAUUUUAAUCUAUUCAGAGGAACCUGUUUAGUAAAUGAUAAUCCACGAUUUUAUUUACUUUUUGUUUUAGCUUAUAUAUCGUCGUAAAAAAUAUUUUAUUAGAAUUCUAAUAUUUAAAAUUUUUAAUAAAAAUAUAAUUCAGAUCAAGGUAUAGUUUAUAAGAAAGAUAAAAUGGGUUACAAUUAAUUUAUUAAAGGAUUUAUAAUUUUAAAUUAUAAUGAAUUUGGAUUUGAUAGUAAUUUUAAUAAUUUAUUAAAAUGAUUUAGUUCUAAAAUAUGUACAUAUCGCCCGUCGCUUUCAUUUAAUAUGAAAUAAGUCGUAACAAAGUAGGUUUACUGGAAGGUGAGUCUAGAAUACA